UCUACGGGAGGCUGCAGUGGGGGAUAUUGCACAAUGGGGGGAACCCUGAUACAGCGACGCCGCGUGGGUGAAGAAGCGCCUCGGCGCGUAAAGCCCUGUCAGCAGGGAAGAAAAUGACGGUACCUGAAGAAGAAGCCCCGGCUAACUACGUGCCAGCAGCCGCGGUAAUACGUAGGGGGCAAGCGUUAUCCGGAUUUACUGGGUGUAAAGGGCGUGCAGCCGGGAAGACAAGUCAGAUGUGAAAUCCCGCGGCUCAACCGCGGAACUGCAUUUGAAACUGUUUUUCUUGAGUACCGGAGAGGUCAUCGGAAUUCCUGGUGUAGCGGUGAAAUGCGUAGAUAUAAGGAAGAACACCAGUGGCGAAGGCGGAUGACUGGACGGCAACUGACGGUGAGGCGCGAAAGCGUGGGGAGCAAACAGGAUUAGAUACCCCUGUAGUC
rnacentral:rRNA from 1 species